rnacentral:sRNA from 1 species
GCCAGGUGCUGUGGUGCACGCCUGUAAUCCCAGCAACUCUGGAGGCUGAGGCAGGAGGAUCACAAGUUCAAAGCCAGUCUCAGUAAUUUAGUAAGGCUCUAAGCAAACUCAGUGAGACCCUGUCUAUA